UACGGAGGGGGCUAGCGUUGUUCGGAAUUAUUGGGCGUAAAGAGCUCGUAGGCGGUCUGUUGCGUCGGCUGUGAAAACCCGGGGCUCAACUCCGGGCCUGCAGCCGAUACGGGCAGACUAGAGUUCGGCAGGGGAGACUGGAAUUCCUGGUGUAGCGGUGAAAUGCGCAGAUAUCAGGAGGAACACCGGUGGCGAAGGCGGGUCUCUGGGCCGAUACUGACGCUGAGGAGCGAAAGCGUGGGGAGCGAACAGG
rnacentral:rRNA from 1 species